GACGAACGCUGGCGGCGUGCCUAACACAUGCAAGUCGAACGGAGUUAAAUUCGACACCCGAGUAUCCGGCCGGGAGGCGGGGUGCUGGGGGUUGGAUUUAACUUAGUGGCGGACGGGUGAGUAACGCGUGAGUAACCUGCCUUUCAGAGGGGGAUAACGUUCUGAAAAGAACGCUAAUACCGCAUAACAUCAAUUUAUCGCAUGAUAGGUUGAUCAAAGGAGCAAUCCGCUGGAAGAUGGACUCGCGUCCGAUUAGCCAGUUGGCGGGGUAACGGCCCACCAAAGCGACGAUCGGUAGCCGGACUGAGAGGUUGAACGGCCACAUUGGGACUGAGACACGGCCCAGACUCCUACGGGAGGCAGCAGUGGGGGAUAUUGCACAAUGGGGGAAACCCUGAUGCAGCAACGCCGCGUGAGGGAAGAAGGUUUUCGGAUUGUAAACCUCUGUUCUUAGUGACGAUAAUGACGGUAGC
rnacentral:rRNA from 1 species